UACGUGGGGUGCAAGCGUUAAUCGGAAUUACUGGGCGUAAAGCGUGCGCAGGCGGUGAUGUAAGACAGUUGUGAAAUCCCCGGGCCCAACCUGGGAACUGCAUCUGUGACUGCAUUGCUGGAGUGCGGCAGAGGGGGAUGGAAUUCCGCGUGUAGCAGUGAAAUGCGUAGAUAUGCGGAGGAACACCGAUGGCGAAGGCAAUCCCCUGGGCCUGCACUGACGCUCAUGCACGAAAGCGUGGGGAGCAAACAGG
rnacentral:rRNA from 1 species